rnacentral:rRNA from 1 species
UACGUAGGGGGCAAGCGUUGUCCGGAUUUAUUGGGCGUAACGAGCGUGUAGGCGGUUAGGUAGGUCCGUUGUGAAAACUCGAGGCUCAACCUCGAGACGCCGAUGGAAACCAUCUGACUAGAGUCCGGAAGAGGAGAGUGGAAUUCCUGGUGUAGCGGUGAAAUGCGCAGAUAUCAGGAAGAACACCCGUGGCUAAGGCGGCUCUCUAGUACGUGACUGACGCUGAGACGCGAAAGCGUGGGGAGCGAACAGG